rnacentral:rRNA from 1 species
GGGGUAGUCGUAGCGAAAGCGAAUGCUAAUUGUGUGUUUUAAGUGGCAUGUCCUGGACCCGAAGCGGGGUGAUCUACCCAUGGCCAGUGUGAAGCAGCUGUAAGAGGUUGUGGAGGCGCGAACCCACGUAGGUUGAAAACUGCGGGGAUGAGUUGUGGGUAGGGGUGAAAGGCCAAUCAAACUCCGUGAUAGCUGGUUCUCCCCGAAAUGCAUUUAGGUGCAGCGUCGCGUAGGUGUGCCGGAGGUAGAGCUACUGGUUGGUUGAGCGGGACUAUCAUCUUAGCAAUGUCAGCCAAACUCCGAAUGCCGGUUUACAUUGGUGCGCGGCAGUGAGACUGUGGGGGAUAAGCUUCAUAGUCGAGAGGGAAACAGCCCAGAUCGCCGGUUAAGGCCCCUAAGGGUGUACUAAGUGGAAAAGGAUGUGUAAUCGCGAAGACAGCCAGGAGGUUGGCUUAGAAGCAGCCACCCUUGAAAGAGUGCGUAAUAGCUCACUGGUCGAGUGGUUGCGCGCCGACAAUUCAGUGGGGCUCAAGUACACCGCCGAAGCCGCGGCAUAUUUUUAUAUGGGUAGGGGAGCGUCGUGCAUGGGGUGAAGCGUUACCGGAAGGGGGCGUGGACUGUGUGCGAGUGAGAAUGCAGGCAUGAGUAACGAAUGAUGCGUGAGAAUCGUAUCCGCCGGAUGACUAAGGGUUCCUGGGUCAAGUUCGUCUUCCCAGGGUGAGUCGGGUCCUAAGGCGAGGCCGACAGGCGUAGUCGAUGGUCAACGGGUUGAUAUUCCCGUACCCGUGCAUACGCGCCCAAGUGCGAAGCGGUGAUACUAACCACCCUGACCACCCGCCAUGCAUUCCUUUGGUUUGCGGGUGGGUGUGAUGCGUGGGGCCUGAUCCGUUGUAGUUCAGUGAUGGGGUGACGCAGUCAGGUAGCUACGCCACUUAAGUGGAUUGUGGUGCAAGCGUGUGGCACAUGGACUAGUCAAAUGCGGUCCU